rnacentral:rRNA from 1 species
GGACUGAGACACGGCCCAGACUCCUACGGGAGGCAGCAGUAGGGAAUCUUCCGCAAUGGACGAAAGUCUGACGGAGCAACGCCGCGUGAACGAAGAAGGCCUUCGGGUCGUAAAGUUCUGUUGUUAGGGAAGAACGAGUACCAGAGUAACUGCUGGUACCUUGACGGUGCCUAACCAGAAAGCCACGGCUAACUACGUGCCAGCAGCCGCGGUAAUACGUAGGUGGCAAGCGUUGUCCGGAAUUAUUGGGCGUAAAGCGCGCGCAGGUGGUUCCUUAAGUCUGAUGUGAAAGCCCACGGCUCAACCGUGGAGGGUCAUUGGAAACUGGGGAACUUGAGUGCAGAAGAGGAAAGUGGAAUUCCAAGUGUAGCGGUGAAAUGCGUAGAGAUUUGGAGGAACACCAGUGGCGAAGGCGACUUUCUGGUCUGUAACUGACGCUGAGGCGCGAAAGCGUGGGGAGCAAACAGGAUUAGAUACCCUGGUAGUCCACGCCGUAAACGAUGAGUGCUAAGUGUUAGAGGGUUUCCGCCCUUUAGUGCUGCAGCUAACGCAUUAAGCACUCCGCCUGGGGAGUACGGCCGCAAGGCUGAAACUCAAAG